UACGUAGGGUGCGAGCGUUGUCCGGAAUUACUGGGCGUAAAGAGCUCGUAGGUGGUUUGUCGCGUUGUUCGUGAAAACUCACAGCUUAACUGUGGGCGUGCGGGCGAUACGGGCAGACUGGAGUACUGCAGGGGAGACUGGAAUUCCUGGUGUAGCGGUGAAAUGCGCAGAUAUCAGGAGGAACACCGGUGGCGAAGGCGGGUCUCUGGGCCGAUACUGACGCUGAGGAGCGGAAAGCGUGGGGGAGCGAACAGG
rnacentral:rRNA from 1 species